rnacentral:rRNA from 1 species
UGAUGCCUACGGGGGGCAGCAGUGAGGAAUAUUGGUCAAUGGGCGCAAGCCUGAACCAGCCAAGUCGCGUGAGGGAUGACGGUCCUAUGGAUUGUAAACCUCUUUUGUCGGGGAGCAAGGCCCGCCACGUGUGGCGGGAAGGAGAGUACCCGAAGAAAAAGCAUCGGCUAACUCCGUGCCAGCAGCCGCGGUAAUACGGAGGAUGCGAGCGUUAUCCGGAUUUAUUGGGUUUAAAGGGUGGGUAGGCGGAAGGUUAAGGCAGCGGGCAAAUGUCGGGGCUCAACACCGGCCGGCCGUUGAAACUG